CCUACGAGUGGCAGCAGUGAGGAAUAUUGGUCAAUGGCCGGAAGGCUGAACCAGCCAUGCCGCGUGAAGGUCAGUGCCCUAUGGGCGUUAAACUUCUUUUGUGCGGGAGCAAUAAUGGUCACGUGUGGCCCGACGAGAGUACCGUACGAAUAAGCAUCGGCUAACUCCGUGCCAGCAGCCGCGGUAAUACGGGGGCAGAAAGCGUUUUCCGGAUUUAUUGGGUUUAAAGGGUGCGUAGGCGUUGAGGUAAGUCAGCGGUGAAAUGCCCCCGCUCAACGGGGUGAAGUGCCAUUGAUACUGCCUUGCUGGAAUGCGGAUGCCGUGGGAGGAAUGUGUGGGGUAGCGGUGAAAUGCAUAGAUAUCACACAGAACACCGAUUGCGAAGGCAUCUCACGAAUCCGCGAUUGACGCUGAUGCACGAAAGCGUGGGUAUCAAACAGGAUUAGAUACCCGGGUAGUC
rnacentral:rRNA from 1 species